CAGCAGCCACGGUAAUACCGAGGGUGCGAGCGUUAAUCGGAUUUACUGGGCGUAAAGCGUGCGUAGGCGGCUAAUUGAGUCGGAUGUGAAAUCCCCGAGCUUAACUUGGGAAUUGCAUUCGAUACUGGUUAGCUAGAGUGUGGGAGAGGAUGGUAGAAUUCCAGGUGUAGCGGUGAAAUGCGUAGAGAUCUGGAGGAAUACCGAUGGCGAAGGCAGCCAUCUGGCCUAACACUGACGCUGAGGUACGAAAGCAUGGGGAGCAAACAGGAUUAGAUACCCGAGUAGUCCCUGUCUCUUAUAC
rnacentral:rRNA from 1 species